GAUGAAGAACGUAGCGAAAUGCGAUAAGUAGUGUGAAUUGCAGAAUUCGGUGAAUCAUCGAAUCUUUGAACGCACAUUGCGCCCCUUGGUAUUCCAUGGGGCAUGCCUGUUCGAGCGUCAUUUGUACCUUCAAGCUUUGCUUGGUGUUGGGUGUUUGUCUCGCCUUUGCGUGUAGACUCGCCUUAAAAUAAUUGGCAGCCGGCGUAUUGAUUUCGGAGCGCAGUACAUCUCGCGCUUUGCACUCAUAACGACAGCGUCCAAAAGUACAUUCUACACUCUUGACCUCGGAUCAGGUAGGGAUACCCGCUGAACUUAAGCAUAUCAAUAAGCGGAGGA
rnacentral:misc_RNA from 1 species